rnacentral:rRNA from 1 species
UACGUAGGGUGCGAGCGUUAAUCGGAAUUACUGGGCGUAAAGCGUGCGCAGACGGUUCGUUGUGUCCGAUGUGAAAGCCCCGGGCUUAACCUGGGAAUGGCAUUGGAAACUGGCGAGCUUGAGUGCGGCAGAGGGGGGUGGAAUUCCGCGUGUAGCAGUGAAAUGCGUAGAGAUGCGGAGGAACACCGAUGGCGAAGGCAGCCCCCUGGGUCGACACUGACGCUCAGGCACGAAAGCGUGGGGAGCAAACAGG